rnacentral:rRNA from 1 species
UACGGGGGGGGCAAGCGUUGUUCGGAAUUACUGGGCGUAAAGGGCUCGUAGGCGGCCAACUAAGUCGGAUGUGAAAUCCCCAAGCUUAACUUGGGAACUGCAUCCGAUACUGGAUGGCUUGAAUCCGGGAGAGGGAUGCAGAAUUCCAGGUGUAGCGGUGAAAUGCGUAGAUAUCUGGAGGAAUACCGGUGGCGAAGGCGGCAUCCUGGACCGCAACUGACACUCAGGGACGAAAGCUAGGGGAGCGAAUGGG